ensembl:snRNA U5 U5 spliceosomal RNA
UAGCUCGGGUUUCUAUUCAUUCAUGCACAAAUCUUUCGCCUUUUACUAAAGAUUUCCAUGGAGGGGAACGUUGACGAGUUUUUUUUGAAGGCUCUGCCACAGCAGAGUU